GAGGUGAAUUAUCUUACCCAGAUCACACAGCUGAUAAGUGGUGGAGGCAGAAUAGAAUCUAAACAGUGUGGCUCCGGAGCCCACAUGCAUUGAUUCGACAAGUGUUUAUUGAGCACCUGCCGCGGACAAGGCCUUGUGUGAUUAAACAGGGUUAUAAUUAGUAAUGUAAAAAUGAGAAAUCACUAAUGCUUUUUAGACUUAACAUUUUCUUUUUUUGUAGGUUUCAGGCACAGAACUGUAUAUCCAAUAAUAGUGAAAUGGAUCCCACUAAUUAUGACCGAAAUGAUGAUACAUUUAAAUGACUUGGAUGUUUUAUAGGUAUGAUCUCGUGAAACCUUGAGAGAAACUGAAUGACGAAUGAAACUAUUGUUCCUGUUUCACACAGAAGAAAACUGAGGUUAAAAGGGGUUGGCACUCAUCAUGAGCCCCUGUUCUCAUUCUGCAAAUGGUGAAGCUCUCUAUUGUCCUGACCCCACGGUUCCUGUCCCAUGACCAGGGCCAGCUCACCAAGGAGCUGCAGCAGCACGUAAAGUCAGUGACAUGCCCAUGCGAGUACCUGAGGAAGGUGACCUUGAGGAACCCUGGGAGCUCAGGAAGGAAGGAGCGCCCAGAAGCAGGGACAGGGAGCUGGUUGGGGAGGACCAGAAAUCAGGUUAUCAAUACUCUGGCUGACCAUCGUCAUCGUGGGACUGACUUUGGUGGAAGUCCUUGGUUACUUAUCAUUACUGUGUUUCUGAGAAGUUAUAAAUUUGCCAUCUCCCUCUGCACAAGUUACCUUUGUGUGUCUUUCCUGAAGACUAUCUUCCCGUCUCAAAAUGGACAUGAUGGAUCCACGGAUGUACAGCAGAGAGCCAGGAGGUCCAACUGCCGUAGACAGGAAGGAAUUAAAAUUGUCCUGGAAGACAUCUUUACUUUAUGGAGACAGGUGGAAACCAAAGUUCGAGCUAAAAUCCGUAAGAUGAAGGUGACAACAAAAGUCAACCGUCAUGACAAAAUCAAUGGAAAGAGGAAGACCGCCAAAGAACAUCUGAGGAAACUAAGCAUGAAAGAACGUGAGCACGGAGAAAAGGAGAGGCAGGUGUCAGAGGCAGAGGAAAAUGGGAAAUUGGAUAUGAAAGAAAUACACACCUACAUGGAAAUGUUUCAACGUGCGCAAGCGUUGCGGCGGCGGGCAGAGGACUACUACAGAUGCAAAAUCACCCCUUCUGCAAGAAAGCCUCUUUGCAACCGGUGCACUUACAAUUUGGUAUUACCUGGGAGUGAAAAGAAAUAUUACAGCCAUGCCUAACUGACUUCUUGAGGUAAGAUUGUUCUGUCAGAAAACCCUCUCCCAGUUCCCCUGCAGCUCUUCAGGAAUCCACAUCUCUCCAGAGCUCUUUGUUCUCAUGGGUGGCACCUCCAGAGUGAAGAAGAUCCUUUGUCAAGAAGGGAAACAGAGGGGAAAUGAGAGGGUCCUGCAGGCAGAGCUGGAAUCAACUUCCACUCUGCCUCUUGCAAGCUGUGUGACCCUGGGCACAAUUUCUCCUUCCUCUGGAAACCUCUGUUUUCUUAGAUUUGGAGCAGGGUGGUCACACUGACCUUGCAGAGUUCUGAGAAUCAGAGACAGAACAUAAAAGGCCUGGAAAACAUUCUCCAAAAAGAAGCUGCAACAUGUGUGGACAAUGGGCUUUUCAUGCCUCUCUUACUGUCUCUUACUGUCUAUUGACCUGGUGCAAGAAACAUGCUCUGGUGAUGGCUGUGAGGGAGGAAUGAGGAUAGACAUAGACACUCCUGUGUCUCAAACAUGCUUCUUUAUUACUCUGUUAUGACUCUGUCUUCCCUGGGGCAGGACCCCAGCCUGCCUACAUUUGCAGACAGACACAGUGGCAUGUGGAGACAACAGUGUGUCCCAAUGACUUUUCUUUACCCCCCAGUUGUCGGCAGUACUCAGUGGAAGGGUGAUAUUAUGACACUGACACUGCUAUUUUGAAACCUGGAGGAUGGAAAGGUGCAAAAAUCUAUCACCAGCAACAGAAGGUCAGAAUGGCGGCAGUGGAGCAUCGUCAUUCUUCAGGAUUGCCCUACUGGCCCUACCUCACAGCUGAAACUUUAAAAAACAGGAUGGGCCACCAGCCACCUCCUCCAACUCAACAACAUUCUAUAAUUGAUAACUCCCUGAGCCUCAAGACACCUUCCGAGCGUCUGCUCUAUCCCCUUCCACCCUCAGCGGAUGAUAAUCUCAAGACACCUCCCGAGUGUCUGCUCACUCCCCUUCCACCCUCAGCUCUACCCUCAGCGGAUGAUAAUCUCAAGACACCUGCCGAGUGUCUGCUCACUCCCCUUCCACCCUCAGCUCCACCCUCAGCGGAUGAUAAUCUCAAGACACCUCCCGAGUGUGUCUGCUCACUCCCCUUCCACCCUCAGCGGAUGAUAAUCUCAAGAAACUAAUGAAGAAUAAAUAAAUAAUAUAAAAAUAAAAUGAA